rnacentral:rRNA from 1 species
UACCAGCACCCCGAGUGGUCGGGACGAUUAUUGGGCCUAAAGCAUCCGUAGCCGGUUUUACAAGUCCCCCGUUAAAUCCAGCUGCUUAACAGAUGGGCUGCGGAGGAUACUAUAAGACUAGGAGGCAGGAGAGGCAAGCGGUACUCAGUGGGUAGGGGUAAAAUCCGUUGAUCCAUUGAAGACCACCAGUGGCGAAGGCGGCUUGCCAGAAUGCGCUCGACGGUGAGGAUGAAAGCUGGGGGAGCAACCG